CUGAACCCUGGACUUCUACAAAUAAAUAGUACCUUUGUCUCAUUGGCACAUUUCUACACAAGUGGGGGGGUUUUUGUCUUCUGUGGUAAGGCAUUGCAUGUAGUUAGUAUUUUACCCGUGGUUUAACAUUUGUGCACACAAAACAGGAACUCCUCUUAAGAAGGAGUUACUACACAGCUUUGGUGUUUAAAAUACCGAGCUUUUUUUGUCCUGUUCAUGGUAGAAAAGUGAGAGAAGAUUUUCCAACAUGCAGGCUGCAGGUGACUUUCUAAAUGUAUUCAACACUGAGGCCAGCAAGAUAUCGGUGACACUCAGCCUCUUCCUCAUUUUUCUUGGUCUCCUCUACUGGUGAGUAAAUAAAUGUUUGAUGGCUUAUUUGUGAUGUUCAUUGUUCAGUAGAAAUGAGGUCACUUAUAUAAUUGCGUAUCAUAAGGCACUCACACUUACAUAUAAAGCAGACAGUGCAAACGAAUGCAACAAUAACUCUAGA